UAAUGCAGAAGGCGGUGCGGGGAGACACCUUGAUCAUGAAAGUGGUUUCCCAAGGGUGAGGUUUAGCCUUUGCAUUCUGGAUAUGCUGACCCCUGAAAUUUCCCCAAAUGAGCAGAAACUCAACUGCAUAAGUUCUGGAAUUUGGGGGAGUAUAUUUGCAAUCUCCCCUG